rnacentral:rRNA from 1 species
AUUGAACGCUGGCGGCAGGCCUAACACAUGCAAGUCGAGCGGAUGAAGGGAGCUUGCUCCUGUAUUCAGCGGCGGACGGGUGAGUAAUGCCUAGGAAUCUGCCUGGUAGUGGGGGAUAACGUCCGGAAACGGGCGCUAAUACCGCAUACGUCCUGAGGGGGAAAGUGGGGGAUCUUCGGACCUCACGCUAUCAGAUGAGCCUAGGUCGGAUUAGCUAGUUGGUGGGGUAAAGGCCUACCAAGGCGACGAUCCGUAACUGGUCUGAGAGGAUGAUCAGUCACACUGGAACUGAGCCACGGUCCAGACUCCUACGGGAGGCAGCAGUGGGGAAUAUUGGACAGUGGGCGAAAGCCUGAUCCAGCCAUGCCGCGUGUGUGAAGAAGGUCUUCGGAUUGUAAAGCACUUUAAGUUGGGAGGAAGGGCAGUAAGUUAAUACCUUGCUGUUUUGACGUUACCAACAGAAUAAGCACCGGCUAACUUCGUG